CCACUGAGAUCUGGAGAUCUGAUAUUACGCCUCAUCCUUAAUUCACGUAUCCUCCUACACACUAAAGAGUGCGAUAGAUAUUUCCCGCACUGUGAGACCGUGGACAUUUGGCUCAGCUGCGUGAAGAAUACUCCAAACAAUGAACCUCCGAACUGAGACACUGGAUCUGUAACUCUCAGCCGCCAUAGUCCUGCUCGCCUUGCCACUGCCGUGUGUUUACGUCAAGACAGCGGGCGGCCGCGUACUAGUUUCCUCAGUACUUGUGCGUCCGUAUCAAUACCGUGUGCUGUAAACAUCUGAACGAACUGAGAUACUCAUUCAAUUUUUUUCGCCUCUCCAUUAUCUCGUGGUGACGUAAAGGUGACGGCCCGUGUGUUAGUUUCCCCGGUAAUUGUGCCUCCGUAUCAUUACUGUGUGCCGUGGUCGUGAGAACUGCGAGGCGGCGGUGUACACUGUGCCGUGGAGAGCCGCGGGGUGUUGGAAUCGCCUGUCAGUCACCUUGAAGGCGUCAUAUUCCCUCCCUGCUCUUCCCCGUGUCUUCCUGUCGAUGUUGGCUUGUCAAGUAGGCGGCUGAGACAAAGGUACUGGCCGUGAGCUGGCGGGUCGCUCACCGGGACUCCUCUGGCCUCCACCAACAUGAGACGAGCGAGCGAUCAGAGAGGCACUUGAAGACUUAUUGGUGCACUCUUAAGUCCAACGGGAAGCCUUGCCCUCAUUAUUCCUAUUCCGUGUCUGGCGUUCUGGAUGGCUAGGCAUGAGUGGUGUUUGGACUUGUUCACUCAGUAGGAUGGAGGAAAACUACAAACAGGAGGAGAGCUUCAAAGUUUGCCGGUAAAUGGAAGAAAGAGUGGAGAGCCUGAUGGAGAAAAUACGUACUAGGUGGUGCUUUGCAGCGAGAUCGUGGGAGUUGGUGUUUGAUAUGAAGAUAGCAAGUUUAGAUGAGUUAUUAAUAUUGUGUUAUUAUUAUUGCUCAUUAUUAUUAUUAUUAUUAUUAUUAUUAUUAUUAUUAUUAUUAUUAUUAUUAUUACUAUUUUUAUUACUAUUACUAUUGUUGUUUAUGUUGUUUGUUGUUGCUAUUUAUAUUAUUUUAUUCACUGCUUUAGA